rnacentral:snRNA from 1 species
AAGUGUUACAGCUCUUUUAGAAUUUGUCUAACAGGUUUUUUGGCUUUCUCUAGAAAACCUAA